UACGGGGGGGAGCAAGCGUUGUUCGGAUUUACUGGGCGUAAAGGGCGCGUAGGCGGCCACCGCAAGUCGGUUGUGAAAUCUCUGGGCUUAACCCAGAAAGGUCAACCGAUACUGCGGGGCUAGAGUGCAGAAGGGGCAACUGGAAUUCUCGGUGUAGCGGUGAAAUGCGUAGAUAUCGAGAGGAACACCUGCGGCGAAGGCGGGUGACCUGG
rnacentral:rRNA from 1 species